GACGAACGCUGGCGGCGUGCCUAAUACAUGCAAGUAGAACGCUGAAGAGAGGAGCUUGCUCUUCUUGGAUGAGUUGCGAACGGGUGAGUAACGCGUAGGUAACCUGCCUUGUAGCGGGGGAUAACUAUUGGAAACGAUAGCUAAUACCGCAUAACAAUGGAUGACACAUGUCAUUUAUUUGAAAGGGGCAAUUGCUCCACUACAAGAUGGACCUGCGUUGUAUUAGCUAGUAGGUGAGGUAAUGGCUCACCUAGGCGACGAUACAUAGCCGACCUGAGAGGGGGAGCGGCCACGCUGGGACUGGGACACGGCCCAGACUCCUACGGGUGGCAGAAGUAGGGAACCUUCGGCAAUGGGGGCAACCCUGACCGAGCAACGCCGCGUGAGUGAAGAAGGUUGUCGGGUCGUAAAGCUCUGUUGUAAGUCAAGAACGGGUGUGAGAGUGGAAAGUUCACACUGUGACGGUAGCUGACCAGAAAGGGACGGCUAACUACGUG
rnacentral:rRNA from 1 species